rnacentral:tRNA from 1 species
GAAGGUAUAGCUCAAGUGGUAGAAUGCAGACUUAGCAUGCAUGAGGUCCUGGGUUCAAUCCCCAGUACCUCCA